UACGUAGGGCGCAAGCGUUGUCCGGAAUUACUGGGCGUAAAGAGCUCGUAGGUGGUUUGUCGCGUUGUUCGUGAAAACUCACAGCUUAACUGUGGGCGUGCGGGCGAUACGGGCAGACUGGAGUACUGCAGGGGAGACUGGAAUUCCUGGUGUAGCGGUGGAAGUGCGCAGAUAUCAGGAGGAACACCGGUGGCGAAGGCGGGUCUCUGGGCAGUAACUGACGCUGGAGGAGCGAAAGCGUGGGAGCGAACAGG
rnacentral:rRNA from 1 species